rnacentral:rRNA from 1 species
CCUACGGGAGGCAACAGUGGGGAAUAUUGCACAAUGGGGGAAACCCUGAUGCAGCGACGCCGCGUGAGUGAAGAAGUAAUUCGUUAUGUAAAGCUCUAUCAGCAGGGAAGAAAAUGACGGUACCUGAGUAAGAAGCCCCGGCUAACUACGUGCCAGCAGCCGCGGUACUACGUAGGGGGCAAGCGUUAUCCGGAUUUACUGGGUGUAAAGGGAGCGUAGACGGCAGUGCAAGUCUGGAGUGAAAGGCGGGGGCUCAACCCCCGGACUGCUCUGGAAACUGUACGGCUGGAGUGCAGGAGAGGUAAGUGGAAUUCCUAGUGUAGCGGUGAAAUGCGUAGAUAUUAGGAGGAACAUCAGUGGCGAAGGCGGCUUACUGGACUGUAACUGACGUUGAGGCUCGAAAGCGUGGGGAGCAAACAGGAUUAGAUACCCGUGUAGUC